rnacentral:rRNA from 1 species
CCUACGGGCGGCAGCAGUGGGGAAUAUUGCACAAUGGGGGAAACCCUGAUGCAGCGACGCCGCGUGAGUGAAGAAGUAUUUCGGUAUGUAAAGCUCUAUCAGCAGGGAAGAAAUAGCGACCUUUGGGUCGCCAAACGGUAGCUGAUUAAGAAGCCCCGGCCAACUACGUGCUAGCAGCCGCCGUAAUACGUAGGGGGCAAGCGUUAUCCGGAUUUAAUGGGUGUAAAGGGAGCGUAGACGGCAGCGCAAGUCUGAAGUGAAAUGCCGGGGCUUAACCCCGGAACUGCUGUGGAAACUGAGGAGCUAGAGUGCAGGAGAGGUAAGUGGAAUUCCUAGUGUAGCGGUGAAAUGCGUAGAUAUUAGGAGGAACACCGGUGGCGAAGGCGGCUUACUGGACUGUAACUGACGUUGAGGCUCGAAAGCGUGGGGAGCAAACAGGAUUAGAUACCCUUGUAGUC